UACGGGGGGGGCAAGCGUUGUUCGGAAUUACUGGGCGUAAAGGGCUCGUAGGCGGCCAACUAAGUCGGAUGUGAAAUCCCCAGGCUUAACCUGGGAACUGCAUCCGAUACUGGAUGGCUUGAAUCCGGGAGAGGGAUGCAGAAUUCCAGGUGUAGCGGUGAAAUGCGUAGAGAUCGGGAGGAAGGCCGGUGGCGAAGGCGGCGCUCUGGAACAUUUCUGACGCUGAGGCUCGAAAGCGUGGGGAGCAAACAGG
rnacentral:rRNA from 1 species